rnacentral:rRNA from 2 species
UACGGAGGGUGCAAGCGUUAUCCGGAUUCACUGGGUUUAAAGGGUGCGUAGGUGGGUCUGUAAGUCAGUGGUGAAAUCUCCGGGCUUAACCUGGAAACUGCCAUUGAUACUAUAGGUCUUGAAUUUUCUGGAGGUUAGCGGAAUAUGUCAUGUAGCGGUGAAAUGCUUAGAUAUGACAUAGAACACCAAUUGCGAAGGCAGCUAACUACGGGAACAUUGACACUGAGGCACGAAAGCGUGGGGAUCAAACAGG